AUUGAACGCUGGCGGCAUGCUUUACACAUGCAGGUCGAACGGUAACAGGCCGCAAGGUGCUGACGAGUGGCGGACGGGUGAGUAAUGCAUCGGAACGUGCCCAGUCGUGGGGGAUAACUACUCGAAAGAGUAGCUAAGACCGCAUACGAUCUAUGGAUGAAAGCGGGGGACCGGAAGGCCUCGCGCGAUUGGAGCGGCCGAUGUCAGAUUAGGUAGUUGGUGGGGGAAAGGCUCACCAAGCCAACGAUCUGUAGCUGGUCUGAGAGGACGACCAGCCACACUGGGACUGAGACACGGCCCAGACUCCUACGGGAGGCAGCAGUGGGGAAUUUUGGACAAUGGGCGCAAGCCUGAUCCAGCAAUGCCGCGUGCAGGAAGAAGGCCUUCGGGUUGUAAACUGCUUUUGUACGGAACGAAACGGCUCUGGUUAAUACCCGGGGCUAAUGACGGUACCGUAAGAAUAAGCACCGGCUAACUACGUG
rnacentral:rRNA from 1 species